GUUAAAUAAAGAUUUGAUAGUAAUGAACGUAGUUGAUAUUUGUCAACUUGAACCUGAAAAGUAAGCAUAGAGAAAUAAGUAAUGUGAUCUCUGAUACUAGCUUUUGUAGAUUAAUGCAUGUAAAGCAUGUGAACACAUUGUAAAUCCAAACACAGCAACACGAAUAUGUAAGCGGCCGCCCUCCUUUAUCGCGUAGUGCGUAUCUUAGAAUAUGCCCUACAGUCACGUAGUAAAGU